CCUACGGGCGGCUGCAGUGGGGAAUAUUGCACAAUGGGCGCAAGCCUGAUGCAGCCAUGCCGCGUGUGUGAAGAAGGCCUUCGGGUUGUAAAGCACUUUCAGCGGGGAGGAAGGCGGUGAGGUUAAUAACCUCAUCGAUUGACGUUACCCGCAGAAGAAGCACCGGCUAACUCCGUGCCAGCAGCCGCGGUAAUACGGAGGGUGCAAGCGUUAAUCGGAAUUACUGGGCGUAAAGCGCACGCAGGCGGUCUGUCAAGUCGGAUGUGAAAUCCCCGGGCUCAACCUGGGAACUGCAUUCGAAACUGGGAGGCUAGAGUCUUGGAGAGGGGGGUAGAAUUCCAGGUGUAGCGGUGAAAUGCGUAGAGAUCUGGAGGAAUACCGGUGGCGAAGGCGGCCCCCUGGACAAAGACUGACGCUCAGGUGCGAAAGCGUGGGGAGCAAACAGGAUUAGAUACCCGGGUAGUC
rnacentral:rRNA from 1 species